rnacentral:tRNA from 1 species
UCUCGCGUGGCGCAAUUUGGCAGACGCAUGCGCCUCAGAAGCGCAGGAGUGUGGGUUCGAAUCCCACCGCGAGAACUA